rnacentral:rRNA from 1 species
UACAGAGGUCUCAAGCGUUGUUCGGAUUCAUUGGGCGUAAAGGGUGCGUAGGUGGCGCCGUAAGUCGGGUGUGAAAUUUCGGAGCUUAACUCCGAAACUGCAUUCGAUACUGCGGUGCUUGAGGACUGGAGAGGAGACUGGAAUUCAUGGUGUAGCAGUGAAAUGCGUAGAGAUCAUGAGGAAGACCAGUGGCGAAGGCGGGUCUCUGGGCCGUAACUGACGCUGAGGAGCGAAAGCGUGGGGAGCAAACAGG